rnacentral:rRNA from 1 species
AGUGAACGCUGGCGGUAGGCCUAACACAUGCAAGUCGAACGGCAGCACAGGAGAGCUUGCUCUCUGGGUGGCGAGUGGCGGACGGGUGAGGAAUACAUCGGAAUCUACUCUGUCGUGGGGGAUAACGUAGGGAAACUUACGCUAAUACCGCAUACGACCUACGGGUGAAAGCAGGGGACCUUCGGGCCUUGCGCGAUUGAAUGAGCCGAUGUCGGAUUAGCUAGUUGGCGGGGUAAAGGCCCACCAAGGCGACGAUCCGUCGCUGGUCUGAGUGGAUGGUCAGCCGCGAGGGAACCGAGACACGUGACAGACUCCUACGGGAGGCAGCAGUGAGGAAUAUUGGACGAUGGGCGCAAGCCGGAGCCAGCCAUACCGCGGUGGUGAAGAAGGCCUUCGGGUUGUAAAGCCCUUUUGUUGAGAAAGAAAUCCAGCUGGCUAGUACCCGGUUGGGAUGACGGUACCCAAAGAGUAAGCACCGGCUAACUUCGUGCCAGCCGCCGCCGUAA